rnacentral:lncRNA from 1 species
AGACAUGGGGUGGAUGCGGAGGGGAAAGCUAGUCACACAACAUCCCACUCAAGCCCACAUACUAUUUCUGUUUCCACUCCUGUAUGCCAAAUAUAUUCAGCAAAAGGUGCACACUUAGUUACGGAUUUUUGGCAUAUCAAAACUUCAGUAGUAGUACUAGCAAGGAAAAUAUUUUGAUAGCAGGCAUGUAAUGUAACUUACCAGCCAAAUAUCGUUACUCUUCCUAGGCCUCAGCUCAGACCUGUAUCCACACCAUGUAUGACUGAUCUGUGCCACUGCUGAAUAUCUGUCUUGGGUGCAGACUCAUACACAAGCGUUGACCUUCUUCAGUGUGGAUUGCACAGAGCUAGGCAGUCCAAGGAUAGAACCUUCCGGGACUGAAAGCGUCGAUGAGUUUGUUGAGAAAUAUUUUAAACUAUAUAAAACAUUUGAAGCAUGCAAAAUUUGCAAGGGCAUGUAUAAUACUAACCAAUCAAAUUUCUUGACACCUCCCAAGCUCACUGCUCUAUGUAGAUAGUACAUCUUAAGAACUAUGGAGAGCUAGGGAUUUCUACAGAUACGACACCAUGAGAACUAUGAGAGCCAGGAACUUUUGAACAUUGUAAGGUCAUCGUUUUCGGUACUACUAAGGGCCUGUUUAGAUGCCAAAUCUUUACAUCCCAAAACAUUUGGCUGUAAACUUUACAUUCAAAUAGGUGUGCCCUCCAUUUUUACAGUGCAAUCUCUGUUGUCUGUCAUCAUGGUCACGGGUGCUACUCAACAGUUGUGUAAAAGCAUUCACAAAAAAAAAAGAAAAACAGCUGAGUAAAAGCUUGCAGCUCCUUUGAAUUUCACCAUAUGGCAGUGGGCCACAAAUGAAGAACAAAUUAUAUUGAUGAGUUACUCCACUUUUACUCAUGUAAGUAUGCUUUGUUGCUUUCGGUAUGUGAAAAACAUUAUGAAUUAAACACUUUAACUCUACUCCUACCUUAAUGUGCAGGUCUUUUGAGUAUUGGAGAAAAAGACAUUAUGAAACGUUCCUGCCCAACAGCCUAAACGGCAAGCCACAGGUAUUGACCAAAGCAUGAGUGUUUUGAUUGACCAGAGACGUCGGGAACAAAGUCGUGCUGGAACAUGCAAUUGUUCUCCUUCCUGAUCAUCCAGGCCGAGAGCAAUGACGCAUCUUAGGUGCAUAUUGGUGUUUAACCAGCUCAAUAUCUUUGCUCUCUAACAACUGCAUUUGACAAGUGUGGAACCUCUUCAGUGUGGAUUGCAAUGAGAUAGGCAGUCCACAGACAGACACCCUUCUGGAACUUAAAGCAUUGACAAGUUUGUUAGGAAAUAUCUUAAACUAUAUAAAACAUUUGAAUGAUGGAAGUUUUGGAAGGUCGUGUAUAAUGCUAAGCAGUCAAAUUUCUUGAUACCUCCCAAGCACACUGCUCUAUGU